rnacentral:rRNA from 1 species
GAGUCAGGUAAUAUGGUCAGCUCCUUACAGGGAGUUUGUACUUGUUGUCUGAUUUCUAUUCGUUCGGUAACACCGCUUCUGCCCUUAACUGGGUGGGGGUAAAAAAUACUAUCAGUAAUGGUAGUAUGGGGUUCCGACAUUUUACUUUGAAAAAAUUAGAGUGUUCAAGGCAGGUGCGACUCACCUCGUAUACAUUAGCAUGGAAUAAUGGAAUAGGACUUUAGUCUUAUUUUGUUGGUUUUAGAGACUGAAGUA